UUCUCGAAGUCGUUGAUCCGCAUCCUGGUCACGAUCAGCUCCUGACUAAGGUCAAAGACCCUGGAGCACAGCAUGACGCCCCGCGACUCGAAGAGAUCCGAUUUGUCCAUUGCCUGAGAUCUCUCAGCUUGCGGUUGCGCUCCUCCAGCACUUGGGUGCGCUCCUGGGCGGCCGCCAGUCUCUGGGACAUUCCGUUCGAGAUGGUCAUUUGAUGGAAGACCUCUACACUGUUCGGCGAGGCCAUGUCAGCGAUGCACUCGCCUAGCGACUCGGUGAAGUCCCUGCGCUCCUCCUCCCAGCUGAGUCCUUGCCCAUCCCUUGGCGGGAGCUGUGCGCACACAAGGGCUAAGUUAAUUACUAACCAUCCAAUUACUAACCACCCAAACCAUACCAUAUGCUGCUGUUUCCUGGCCAGCCGCGUGGCGAACAAUUUGAAGCCCUCGCUGAGCAGACGCCAUGAUUGCAGGGAUCGCUGGGGAUUCCGACCUGGAGAGGCCAUCGGUCGGAUAUGUUAGGCGCUUACUUUGGAAUUUCGAUUGCCAACGCGAAUGGAUCAGUAAAGUUGGGUAUAAAAAAAUAGGAGCAAGUGGGGCUGUGGGGUUGUGGGGGAGUUAAAAUGAAUGAACGAUGAGAAAAGCAGUUUGUAAAUGAACAGGUGGAGCAAAGCUGUUCCCUUCCCUUUUUAUUGUAAACAAGUGUGCUCAUAAUGAAGUUCCAAGGAACCAAAUCAUUGCAUAAGAAAGGCAUAAAUGCGAGGCAUUUCCCAAUUAAAAAUCCAAUAUUUUAACUGGAAUUACGACAUCGUUAAAACACUUUAUUUAGCAAAAAUAAACCAAUAUGACUCAAAAAAA